rnacentral:rRNA from 1 species
CCCUUAGAUGUUCUGGGCCGCACGCGCGCUACACUGAUGCAUUCAACGAGUCUAAAACCUGGUCUGAUAGGGCUGGGUAAUCUUUUGAAAGUGCAUCGUGAUUGGGAUAGAUGAUUGCAAUUUUUCAUCUUCAACGAGGAAUGCCUAGUAAACGCAAGUCAUCAGCUUGCAUUGAUUACGUCCCUGCCCUUUGUACACACCGCCCGUCGCUCCUACCGAUUGAAUGAUCCGAUGAAUAUCAUGGAUUGAGGAUGCAAGUAGGUUAGCCUAUCUUCAUCUUCGAGAAGUGAAGUAAAUCUUAUCAUUUAGAGGAAGGAGAAGUCGUAACA